ACAGCAUACACUACUCGGAGUGGCGGUUCGCAUCUUACCGGGCAGCAUUAGAGUCUUACCGUUAUUUUCUAAUACUGUCAGGUAAAGAUGUCGUCCGCGCUCCACGCUCUGCUCGACGGUCG
rnacentral:precursor_RNA from 12 species